rnacentral:rRNA from 1 species
UUUGCCCUACGGGACGCAGCAGUGGGGAAUAUUGCACAAUGGGGGAAACCCUGAUGCAGCAACGCCGCGUGAAGGAAGACGGUUUUCGGAUUGUAAACUUCUGUUCUUAGUGAAGAAGAAUGACGGUAGCUAAGGAGCAAGCCACGGCUAACUACGUGCCAGCAGCCGCGGUAAUACGUAGGUGGCAAGCGUUGUCCGGAAUUACUGGGUGUAAAGGGCGUGUAGGCGGGAAAGCAAAUCAGAUGUGAAAACCAUGGGCUCAACCUGUGGCCUUCAUUUGAAACUGUUUUUCUUGAGUACUGGGG